rnacentral:tRNA from 4 species
GGAGAGAUGGCUGAGUGGUUGAUAGCU